rnacentral:sRNA from 1 species
AGCAAUAGGGCUUUCAUGGGUGGUAACUCACUCCCUUCUUUGAAAGGGGGUGAUAGCAUGACAGUUUAUGAGACGUUAGUCUUGAUGGUUUCUUUUGCAACUUUAAUUGUAGCCAUACUGUCACAACAAAAAAAGUAACCGCCCAUAGAACGCCUAGCAAGCACAUGGGUUGGUUACUUUUUUCUGACCUAAUAGUGUGAGUUGCCCUUGAAGGGCUAUUGCUAAGACCAGAGGUGUUGGCGCACCUUUG